UCCUCAGUAGCUCAAUGGCAGAGCACUCGGCUGUUAACCGAGGGGUUACUGGUUCGAGCCCAGUCUGGGGAGCCA
rnacentral:tRNA from 1 species